rnacentral:rRNA from 1 species
UGGGGAAUAUUGGGCAAUGGGCGAAAGCCUGACCCAGCGACGCCGCGUGGGUGAUGAAGGCCUUCGGGUUGUAAAGCCCUUUCGUGCGGAAAGAACAGUCCCGUAGUGAAUAUCUACGGGAUUUGACGGUACCGCAGGAAGAAGCACCGGCUAACUCCGUGCCAGCAGCCGCGGUAAUACGGAGGGUGCAAGCGUUGUUCGGAAUUAUUGGGCGUAAAGGGCGCGUAGGUGGUUGUGAUAGUCAGAUGUGAAAUCCACUGGCUCAACUGGAGAACUGCAUCUGAAACUUCAUAACUCGAGUACAGGAGAGGGAAACGGAAUUCCCGGUGUAGAGGUGAAAUUCGUAGAUAUCGGGAGGAACACCAGUGGCGAAGGCGGUUUCCUGGCCUGAUACUGACACUGAGGCGCGAAAGCGUGGGGAGCAAACAG